rnacentral:lncRNA from 1 species
AAAGAUUCUAAUAAUAUUACAAUAAAAAUGUUCAUUAACUAUUUAAAUUACCUCACCAUAUACAGAAUAUUAAAUUGAAUUGGCUAUGAAUGUAAUUUUACUGUAAAAUACUGUAAAACUGAUGAAGUACAUAGGUGUGCAUUACCUUAUAGUCCACCGAGUAAAUCUACAGAACACAAGCAAUAUCAAUGUAAAAUGUACUUUUACAGUAAAAAAAAGUUAAAAUGAUGAAAAUAUGAGUACAUUUAGAGUGAAAAACCAAGUCACAGUGUGAUUUGAUUAUUAUUUAUUUUAAUUAUUUUGUUGCUUCUUAUUUUUUAUCUAUUAUGUGUCAGAAUAAUGCUCAAUUUUAUGUCGUUCAGUAAAGUCUGCAUAUUUUUUUGACAUUGUUCAUAAAAAGAAAAAGUAUGAUGAUGCUUAAUUUGAUAUGCGGUUUUCUAUUGUACUACUACAUGCUAGUUACCAAUGUAUCUGAAUCCAGAAAAAAAAAAUAAUUUCAGCUGUUCAAAGUAUAUUGACAUAUUCGCAUUAUUUAUACAGUUAUGAACUGUAAAACAUACAGGCGCCAACAUGUCUCCCAUAAGGCUUGAAACAUUAUUACUGAAUUACAGUAAAUUUCUGGUAAAUUGAACUUUUACAUCUCUGUAUAUUAAGCUGCGACAUACAGUAUAAUCAAGAGAGUCUGCACUUUCAGUUACUUACAGUUAACAACUCUACGUAAAAUACAUCAACAACUUCUUCUUUACCCAUCAAACUUUUAAUUUUGGUCACAAAUGUAACCCGUGGGAUUAAAAGAGUUAAAAAAAUCUGCCAAGACUGUACAGAUGUCACCUUUAUCAGAGAUCAAAAAAGAUGUCAAAGAGUCACGGAUGUGCUAAUGACACUGUUAGAAGUUUUUUUUCUUUCUCUCUCUCUCGCUCUCUCUCUGACACCAAAAAACAAUUUGCGAAUUACAAGCUUAAUUUGUGUUCAACUGUGGAUUUUUUUUUUUAGCUGACUUGUCAAUUGACUGGCAUAUGUUAAAUCUGCACGACUGUGCCACUUCAAGAUGUGCGUGUUAACACAUGACUCCUUACGACAUUUUACAAACCCAACAAAAGUGCUAAAUUAAGUUAGGUGUUGCUGUACGCAGGCGUUUAUGUGAAUCACAGGUUUAGACAAACGUAACCCCUCACUGGUUCUUGCUGAUAUCUAUAUUCCUGGCAGCACAAAGCUUUCGUCUCAUACUCUUUGAAAGGCUUAGCAUUCAUUAGGAUGCAGGAGAUGGGAUGCACUGGCCCAUAUGUCACUAAACAGAUCUCCAUGUUUUAUUUAUCCUAGCUCUUUUCCUACACACACACACACACAUAGUUAACCCCUCCAGUCGGACUGCAAUGCAAGUUACCAGCUCUGAAUCAGACAAGAGAACAGGUCACAGUGUAAAACCGAUUUGGUUUAUGUAGAAUGUUUUGAUUGGCAGAGCCAUAAAGUGGUUAGUACACUCUCAGGUACAAAAGCUUUUA